AAUUGCUGAUGCUGUCUCCUUGCAG
rnacentral:piRNA from 1 species